rnacentral:tRNA from 30 species
AAAAUCCGUCGACUUUAG